rnacentral:rRNA from 1 species
AGCGAACGCUGGCGGCAGGCCUAACACAUGCAAGUCGAACGAACCUUUCGGGGUUAGUGGCGGACGGGUGAGUAACACGUGGGAACGUGCCUUUAGGUUCGGAAUAACUCAGGGAAACUUGUGCUAAUACCGAAUGUGCCCUUCGGGGGAAAGAUUUAUCGCCUUUAGAGCGGCCCGCGUCUGAUUAGCUAGUUGGUUGAGGUAAUGGCUCACCAAGGCGACGAUCAGUAGCUGGUCUGGGAGGAUGAUCAGCCACAUUGGGACUGAGACAGGGCCCAAAAUCCUACGGGAGGCAGGAGUGGGGAAUCUUGCGCAAUGGGCGAAAGCCUGACGCAGCCAUGCCGCGUGAAUGAUGAAGGUCUUAGGAUUGUAAAAUUCUUUCACCGGGGACGAUAAUGACGGUACCCGGAGAAGAAGCCCCGGCUAACUUCGUG